GCCUACGGGAGGCAGCAGUGGGGAAUAUUGGACAAUGGGCGAAAGCCUGAUCCAGCCAUGCCGCGUGUGUGAAGAAGGUCUUCGGAUUGUAAAGCACUUUAAGUUGGGAGGAAGGGCAGUAAGUUAAUACCU
rnacentral:rRNA from 1 species